rnacentral:lncRNA from 1 species
CCCAUUGGCCCAUGUCUUCUGGUUUAGGCCCAAAAGGAGAUCAUUGGUGAGGUGUAAACCAAAUGGAAGCUAAAGGUGGGCAGUUCGAACCCAAACAAGUACAAAAAUGGAAUUUAGGGAUUUUUUUAAAACGAAGAAGAUACGGAUAGUAACCAUAUUCUGUAUAGGACCAAUCUUUAAUUAUACAAGGAGAUUUGUCAUUCAAAACAAUCGCAAAUAUCUUCAACCAGCCAUGAAUUGUACUGACUUUUCUAAACCUUUAUAAAUUUUGCAUACAUACAUCAAACAAUCGAAUAAUGAUUAUAUAGACUUCAUUUUUAUUGAGUGUGCAAUCAGACAACAGCUUGGCAUAGUUGUUAUGCUUCAUUCCACCCUUAGAUCCUAAUUAACAUUCCAACAUCAAACUCAAAUUUAAGACUAACAUUUUCAGCUGAGAUAAUCAAUAGAACUGCCUUCCCUUAUGUGAUUGAACAUGAUAAUAAACCUCUUUAACAAUUGAAAAUCAAUACCAAGCUACCAUAUAGCCUACAAUUAGUCCCUAAUAGUUACCAUGUUUCAAGAGUGAUAAGAACUCAACUAUUACAAUUUAAAUUCUGCAUAUAUUUCUAAUAACUACUGAAAGGGCAACAUCAAAUCUGCAACUACAACAACAAUAAAAUUUGUAUGACUUCAGCAAUUGCAGAGCCCAUUCAAGCUGGAUAAGCUACUACCUAAUCUGACUAACAGGACCCAUAAAUUGUACACACUAGGUGUAUAGGAAGUUAAACAAUAUUUGUAUUUAGAAUGACUAACUAAGAUUUACGUAGAAAAAGGAUUUGAAGAGAAAGCUUAACACAUAAAUAGAACACAUGACUGAAUAUCAAACUUCCAAUUUCCAUUUUCAUUUUACAUUCAAUUUGAAGAUCACGUUAUGCAGGUUUCAGAACAAGUACUUGGGAUUUGCACCAAAAAAAUGGAGGUGAAUAGUAAGCAAAUAGCAACAACAGAAUGACAGUCCCUAACUCAAUCAUUUGAGCAGUGAAAUCAACUCAUAAGACCAGUGCAACAAUAACUUAGUUGCAGAAUUCGACCCAGAUUUAAAAAAAAAAAUUCAAGCCAUUUCAAUCCCAAACUAAUCGGAAAUUGCUUCAGAUAUUGAAAAAAAAAACCCAAAUAUCACAAAAGGAAUCCAAUGCAAUAAUGACUUAUAAAGUUUUAACCGUUUUUGUUUUUCUGGACUUUCUAUCACUUAGUUCUCUACCUUGAAAGGCAAGGUAGAGAUGCCUCGCAUGGAUAGUAGGGCAACUAGCAGAAUUCAAUUUUGCAUUUCUGCCCUUUUCUAAUAUUUGGUUUUUGCUAGUUAAUCCUUGAAUUUUUGACUUGCUUGCCAAGUAAGGCUAUUUUCAGCUUCUAGGAAGCUUCCUAGGCAGUUAUCCACAGAUUUUCUAAGUUAAACUACCCAAAUUACCCAUGAACCCCUGUUUAAUUACCCUUCAGAACUUCCAACGGGUCAUGGGUCAAAUGACCCAAUGGUUCCUGGUCCUAGGAAAUCACUUCAAAUUCCUGGGAAUGAGUUCAAGGCCCAAAUAGUAGAAUGACCUAAAUCUAGCAAAUUAUGAAAAAUUGUAAAGAAGUAAAUAACACAAAAUUUAAAACCUAAACUAAAGUACCAUUUAAUGCAAAAUAAACUAAUUUAUCACAUCAUCCUAGUUAUGUUAAAUUUAAAGUACUAAGUUAAGAUAGUGAAAUCAAAACUAAUCAAGCCAUUAACAAAAGGAAAGCAAGCCAAACACAAUUAGAGACUAAGCCUGGAAAGAAUAACUGAAAGAGAACAGAUGGACAGGGUUUUGUCUUGGUCGAAAAAUUUGGUCGAUUUUCGGCUGAAUUAACCCAGGAGAAUGAAAAAAGAAAGAAAGAAAAUCAAAGGAAAGAAUAAACUUACCGACUCGGCUGACCUUGAUUCAACACCCAAAUAGCGCCAAUCGCUUGUUCUUUGCCAAGAACCAGCGGACAACGUUAUUUUGAGAGCAAAAAAACUUUGAACAUUGAGAAAGCGUUGGAGGGAGGUCCUUGCAUGCAUAAAUCCUACUUAGCUUCUAAGGCUCGAACCCUAAUUUUUGAGAUUCGAGGAGUUCUAGACUUACUCGAAGGGUACAAAGUGGGGGUCUGGAAAGUAAGGAAGGAAGGGGUCAUGAGGUAUUAAUUUGGGGCUGAUUGGGUCACGCUGCCGCCGAUAGAGGCUUGGGAAUUUUGGGGAAGAGGCUAGGGUUCAGGGUCUCUGAAAGGGGUGAGUUGAAACUAGAGAUGGUGGGGGGGCUUAGGUGUUCCGACAUAUAUAUAUUAAAACCCACCCCAGUUCUCGUCCGUUGGAUAAAAUAAAAUUAACGGCACAGAUCAACAUAACGAAAACGGGAUCAUUUGGUCUCAAAGUGGGGAAAGAC